GGUUUAUUCAAAAACAUGGCUUUUUGUAUUAUGUAAGAGAAAAAGUCCGGCCUGCCCGGUGGAAAUUGUUCUAAACGGUUGCAGCUGCCACUGUACUAAGGUAGCGUAAUAGGUCGUCCUUUAAUUGGGGGAAAGUAUGAAUGGUCUAAUGAUGGAUCGGCUUUAUUGGAAAUAUUAUUUGAAGUUUAUUUUAUGGUGCAAAGGCCAUAAUAAAUUUAUUAGACGAGAAGACCCUGUUGAGCUUGUUAAGGUUACUUCUUUAGGAGUAAGCCUAGGUUUUUUCGGGGCCGAAAAGAAGGGAAUUAUAAUGCCUUCCAGAAUUAAUUAAGAUCCAACAUGGUUGAUAAGUAGAAGAUAGUUACCACAGGGAUAACAGCGCAAUCUUCCUGAUGAGGCCAUAUUUAAGGGUUGGUUUGCGACCUCGAUGUUGAAUCAGGGUAUCUUCUAGGUGUAGCAGCUUAGUAGAGUGGGACUGUUCGUCCUUUGAAACCCUACGUGAUCUGAGUUUCAGACC
rnacentral:rRNA from 1 species